rnacentral:lncRNA from 1 species
GCCUGGAUUCGGCAAUCAUCAGCCCGCUUCCCACACUCUCGCCUUCUCUCCGUAGGCAGACUGCGGGACGGGCGGGUUUCCUCUUCCCGAAUGUGAGCUGCCGCAAGAUGGUGCUUCGUCCCCUGGAGCGAGGGCACCUUCCUCCUCAGCCACGGACCAGCGCCGCGUGGGGAAUUCGACGGCCACGGCGUGUGCGGUCCGGCGCCUGCAGAUGCCCCCGAAAGGACCACCCGGCCCUGGGGGACCCGCAAGGCACACCCCAGCCCUCUGCUUGUGUGACCGGGUACCGCCACCUCCCGCCACGCGACCGGCCCUCAAGAGGUCCCCGUGGACGGAAUGCGUGAGGGCCAGUGUGGGUGAGCUGGACCCUGCUUAGCCUGGUCCGCAGGAGGC